rnacentral:lncRNA from 1 species
AUAGGUCCAAUUUACCUGGGCCCAAAACUAAAUAAAUAAAACCCAAAAUAAAAAAAAAUAAACAUUCCAUAGUCCAAAAAAAUUUACAAGCUCAAAUGCCCAAUAAUAAUAAAAAACCCUAGAGGCUCGAUUAGCCCACAACUUAAACAUUUCAGCAAAAAACCCUAACUCCCUUAACCCUAGGCGCGUCGCACCUAGGUCCACUCCUGGCC